UGGGGAAUAUUGGACAAUGGGCGCAAGCCUGAUCCAGCCAUGCCGCGUGAGUGAUGAAGGCCCUAGGGUUGUAAAGCUCUUUCACCGGUGAAGAUAAUGACGGUAACCGGAGAAGAAGCCCCGGCUAACUUCGUGCCAGCAGCCGCGGUAAUACGAAGGGGGCUAGCGUUGUUCGGAUUUACUGGGCGUAAAGCGCACGUAGGCGGACUUUUAAGUCAGGGGUGAAAUCCCGGGGCUCAACCCCGGAACUGCCUUUGAUACUGGAAGUCUUGAGUAUGGUAGAGGUGAGUGGAAUUCCGAGUGUAGAGGUGAAAAUUCGUAGAUAUUCGGAGGAACACCAGUGGCGAAGGCGGCUCACUGGACCAUUACUGACGCUGAGGUGCGAAAAGCGUGGGGGAGCAAAACGGGAUUAGAUACCCUGGUAGUCCACGCCGUAAACGAUGAAUGUUAGCCGUUGGGGAGUUUAACUCUUCGGUGGCGCAGCUAACGCAUUAAAACAUUCCGCCUGGGGAGUAACGGUCGCAAGA
rnacentral:rRNA from 1 species